rnacentral:misc_RNA from 1 species
AACAAGGCGUACCUGCGGACCUGCGGAGGGAUCAUUAACAAAUCUAUUUGAGUGCUGCAGUCCUAGUGGCUGCAUGCACACAUAAGCCCUAAAGCGUAGCACUUCGGUGUGACCGCUUUAGUGUGUGUGGAGGAUUCGGAUCUUUUCGAUUCCUUCAUAGGUCUUCCUUCUGGAUGACCACAUUGACGCUUGUUUGUUUGACAGAGUUAUUAUGACAACAAAAAUAGACAACUUUUAACA